GUGUCCAUAGCUCAGCUGGAUAGAGCAACGGCCUUCUAAGCCGUGGGUCGGGGGUUCGAAUCCCUUUGGGCACA
rnacentral:tRNA from 8 species